ACCUGGGUGGCUCAGUCGGUUGAGCGUCUGACUUCAACUCAGGCCAUAAUCUCACAGCUCAUUGAGUUCGAGCCUCAUGUCAGGCU
rnacentral:tRNA from 1 species